rnacentral:misc_RNA from 1 species
AUACUUCUUCUAACAAUGGUUGUGACGGUGGUCUCAUGGACUAUGCUUUUGAAUUCGUUAUCAAAAAUGGAGGACUAGACACUGAGGAAGAUUACCCAUAUACUGGCGAGGAUGGAAGAUGUGACCUAACAAGGAAAAAUGCCAAGGUUGUCACCAUUGACGGGUAUGAAGAUGUUCCUGCUAAUGAUGAAAACGCAAUGAAAAAGGCUAUUGCAAGUCAGCCUGUUAGCGUUGCUAUUGAAGCUGGUGGCAAAGACUUCCAGCACUAUAAAUCGGGCAUCUUUACUGGGAAGUGUGGCGCAGCAGUGGACCAUGGUGUGGUUGCAGUGGGAUAUGGUAGCGAAAAUGGCAUGGAUUAUUGGAUUGUGAGGAACUCAUGGGGUGCUUCCUGGGGAGAACACGGCUACCUCAG